AUCACUAAGCGGAGGAAAAGAAACUAACAAGGAUUCCCUUAGUAGCGGCGAGCGAACCGGGAGAAGCCCAGCUUGAAAAUCGCGUCGUUCUGCGGCGCGAGUUGUAGUCUGGAGAAGUGUCCUCUGCGGCGGACCGGGCCUAAGUCCCCUGGAAAGGGGCGUCAGAGAGGGUGAGAACCCCGUCGGGCCAGGACCCUGCUGCUCCACGAGGCGCUGUCUACGAGUCGGGCUGUUUGGGAAUGCAGCCCUAAGUGGGAGGUAAAUUCCUUCCAAGGCUAAAUACGGGCGGGAGACCGAUAGCGAACAAGUACCGCGAGGGAAAGAUGAAAAGGACUUUGAAAAGAGAGUUAAAAAGUGCUUGAAAUUGCUGGGAGGGAAGCGAAUGGAGGCCUCGUGUGCGCCCCGGUCGGAUGCGGAACGGCGCGAGCUGGUCCGCCGCUCGACGCGGGGUGCUGGUCGGCGUGGGCUUCUUCGGCGGGACAAAAGUUCGCCUUUAGUGGUGGGCCGAUGCCGUCGAGGAGGCCGAGGAAUCGAAGUGCGCGUCCUCCGGGACGGGCCCUCGAAAGAGGGCACCUGCGUACUCGAGACGUCGGCGUAGUGGGCUU
rnacentral:rRNA from 1 species